rnacentral:rRNA from 1 species
UACGUAGGGGGCAAGCGUUGUCCGGAUUUAUUGGGCGUAAAGAGCGUGUAGGCGGCCAGAUAGGUCCGUUGUGAAAACUCGAGGCUCAACCUCGAGACGCCGAUGGAAACCAUCUGGCUAGAGUCCGGAAGAGGAGAGUGGAAUUCCUGGUGUAGCGGUGAAAUGCGCAGAUAUCAGGAAGAACACCCGUGGCUAAGGCGGCUCUCUAGUACGUGACUGACGCUGAGACGCGAAAGCGUGGGGAGCGAACAGG